rnacentral:rRNA from 1 species
GAUAAACGCUGGCGGCGUGCUUAACACAUGCAAGUCGAACGAAGUUUUUCCUUCGGGAGAAACUUAGUGGCGGACGGGUGAGUAACGCGUGGGUAACCUGCCCUGUACAGGGGGACAACAGCUGGAAACGGCUGCUAAUACCGCAUAAGCCCUUAGCACUGCAUGGUGCAUAGGGAAAAGGAGCAAUCCGGUACAGGAUGGACCCGCGUCUGAUUAGCCAGUUGGCAGGGUAACGGCCUACCAAAGCGACGAUCAGUAGCCGAUCUGAGAGGAUGUACGGCCACAUUGGGACUGAGACACGGCCCAGACUCCUACGGGAAGCAGCAGUGGGGAAUAUUGCACAAUGGAGGAAACUCUGAUGCAGCGACGCCGCGUGAGUGAAGAAGUAUUUCGGUAUGUAAAGCCCUAUCAGCAGGGAAGAAAAUGACGGUACCUGACUAAGAAGCACCGGCUAAAUACGUG